AUUGAACGCUGGCGGCAGGCCUAACACAUGCAAGUCGAACGAGUGGCGGACGGGUGAGUAAUGUCUGGGAAACUGCCUUAUGGAGGGGGAUAACUACUGGAAACGGUAGCUAAUACCGCAUACCAUCAGAUGUGCCCAGAUGGGAUUAGCUAGUAGGUGGGGUAACGGCUCACCUAGGCGACGAUCCCUAGCUGGUCUGAGAGGAUGACCAGCCACACUGGAACUGAGACACGGUCCAGACUCCUACGGGAGGCAGCAGUGGGGAAUAUUGGACAAUGGGCGAAAGCAUGAUCCAGCCAUGCCGCGUGUGUGAAGAAGGUCUUCGGAUUGUAAAGCACUUUAAGUGGGGAGGCGUUACUAACAGAAUAAGCACCGGCUAACUUCGUGCCAGCAGCCGCGGUAAUAC
rnacentral:rRNA from 1 species